rnacentral:rRNA from 1 species
CGUGUCGUGAGAUGUGGUUAAGGUCCCGCAACGAGCGCAACCCUACUCUUAUGUUGUCAGCACGUUAUGGUGGGGACGUCGUAAGAGACUGCCGGGUCGAACUCGGAGGAAGGUGGGGACGGACGUCAAGUCAUCAUGCCCCUUAUGUCCAGGGCUUCACACAUGCUACAAUGGCCAGUACAGAGGGCUGCGAGACCGUGAGGUGGAGCGAAUCCCUUAAAGCUGGUCUCAGUUCGGAUCGGGGUCUGCAACUCGACCCCGUGAAGUCGGAGUCGCUAGUAAUCGCAGAUCAGCAACGCUGCGGUGAAUACGUUCCCGGGCCUUU